UGUGGUGUAGCUCAGUUGGUAGAGCGUUCGACCGAUAAUCGAAAUGUCGCUGGUUCAAGUCCAGCCACCACAA
rnacentral:tRNA from 1 species